rnacentral:lncRNA from 1 species
AAUGAUAUUUUUUAUUGUGGUUGUGGUACUUGUGGAUUGAGAAUAUUUGAGACUACGAUAUAUGUUCGUAUAGAAUUUCUUAAGUUUUAAAUCUAAAAUUUGAGUGUAAAAUAGGAAAAAUAUAAAUUUUACAGUUCGGCGGGUCCGACCCGGACCGAACCAAACCCAAUGUUUGGGUACGGUCCGGUCCUGGAUCGGUCCUCUCUUAAAAUUCGGUCCGAGUUGGUCUAAAUUUUCAAAAAUUUUGGUCCAUCAAACUCGAUGAGUCGGUCCGGAUCGGUUCGUGUCCAUUGAAAUAUUGAGGCUUUUGCAGAUCUUUCGUGCUCCAUUGAUCUGCUGAGAAAAUUCAUAAUUAAAUAUUAGCUACUUUUUAUAUUGUAUCUCAGCUGUAAUUGAAACUAAUAGUAAACAACAAAAAAUUAAAAAAAAAUUAAAAGUAAAGUACCACAUAAAAACAUAAAAAAUAUACAAAAGAAUUAGCUUAAAAUGUAAUGAACUCUCCAUAAAGAGAGAAAGUUUGCAGGAAAUUACCACAUAUAGAGAAAAAAAAAACUUUGCAUUAUAAAAGCGUUGGCUGAAAUAACAUGUAAUGAACUUGUAUUUAUAGAAUUCCAACCACGCUUAUCAGAUACAAAAUGGGCUCCAAAAUUCAAAUUUGAAUUUGGGCUCCAAAAUGAAGAGCCAAAACUACAAUGCUUAAGAUAACACAACAGAUAAUAUGGAACAGAUUUGCACACUGGAUAAUUGGAUGCUGCUCUUGGCGGGAAAAAUGGUGCUGCUGAAAGUGUGCUUUAAUAGUAUUAAGAUUAAGAUAAGACAACAUACACAAAUAUAGUGUUGUAUGAUAAAUUAAAAAAAACACACCACAAAUAGAAAUUUAUUAAAUAUUUUUUAAAAAUAAAUUUUUGAGUCCGAUUAGCCCGAUGGGCUAGCCCGAAAUCAUAACAUUUAGGGCUAGGGUUAGAAAUUUCUAAACUAAAAAAAAAAUUCAACCCAAUUAGCCCGCACCCGAAUAACAUGUAACCCGAUAGGGCUAGCCCGACACCCUGUGGAUUGGCCCAAUUGACAUCCCUAUUUAUAUUUAUCUUUAUGCAUAUUCUUUUUCAAUUAUAUGCAUAGUACUAUGCGAUACCAUCAAGUGGCUCUCGUCGCUGGUCACUUGACGAACCAUACUUUCUCAUAUGGGUUACAUAGUAUUUAAAAAUAAAUAUUUAAACAUGUAUUUUUAUAAAGAAAAUAUUAUAACUUUUAAAUUAGAAAAAUAAACUAACAAACGCUAAUAUAUUAGUAAUAGCUAAUACAAUAAAUUAGUAAUAACUAAUAAAAAAAAAAAUUGAUGAUAAUUUUUUGAAUGCAAAUAUUUUUUUAUUGAAACUAUUUGUACAAUGUUGGUGAUUUUUAAAAUAAUUUUAUUUCUAUAUAAAUUAUUUAUAGACACUCAUUAAAGCAUACUAUCACAAAUCAACUACUGAAUAAAUAUUAAUUAAUAAAUAAUUAAUCAUUAAAUAAGUUUUAAUUAAUUACAACUCGAAUUUAUUAAGUCUCACUUAAUACUACAUAAAUAAACUUGCAAUUAUGAAUUGUUUAGAGUAAGUUAAAUUAAUUUCCAAUCAUUCCAACUUUAUCAUGAAGUAGAUCUAAUAAACUUAAUCACUGCUUGUAGUAAAAUUUUGGAUUUUUUCUACGGCCAAAAGAAAAUGUUGAAACGUUAAUCUUAUUUAAUUAUAUAGAACAUCAAUAAAAAAAUCCUCACAAUAUCCCACUUAUAAUGUUAAGAAACACAAAAAUUAAUGUAAAUCUAAACUAACUAAUAGCAUCAAUCCAAAACAACCUCAACUCUCAUGCCCAAUCCAGACUCCUAAAAUAAAAAUUGAUCCAUAAACUACUUGGGUUCAAUGAACACUAACUCUUUCCUUUGAACAACGAGCUGUCGUCUUUGACCAGAUCUCUCUCUCUUGCCGCAGCCCGGACCGCCCCGCCCCUCCGGCAGCAGCGCUGCAAGCCUGCAGCAGCGGCCCAGCUGCACCGCAACAACAGCCAGGCAGACGGUCUGGUGUUCGAGGCAGCAGCAGCACGGCGAUCCAGAUCGUUGACAGAGAACGACUCAGCAGAGAUCGACUCAGCAACGGCGACCCACCUUACGCUUCCACCGGCAAUCUACAACGUUCAGAACAGAGCGGUGACCGAGAGAACGACUCAGCGGAGAUCGACUCAGCAACGACGACCCACCGCGAACAGCGCCGAGCUUCGCGGGCCGCUGACUCUGGUUGAGAGAUCUGCUGAGUUGCUGCCGCUGUUUCUGAGGUCCGACGAGGCCACUAUCGGAGCCACCACCUCCUUCCGUCGGCAGUAGCUAAGAUGUGAUGGAAGGACGCCGUCAGCAGCCUCCAGAUCUCGGCGCUGCCGAUCCCGAUCUGCCCGAUCCUUAUCUUGGCGCCGCCGAUCAAGAUCGAAGGAAAUCUGCCCGAUCCAGAUCUUCGCCCACCACACCGCAGCAGGUCCCCAGCUGCACAGUCGCCGCUGGAUGUCAAUCGAGUCCGCCGGUGACGGACUUGAGUUCGCCGGCUUUCAAUAGUGAAAAGGGGGCCUCAACCUUCCCCCGGUAUCAUCUAACUUUGACGUGUUUCGCUCGAAAUCAACUGUUCUGUAUCGGCAACCGUCCGGCGCAGUGGCUGCUGGGCAGCAGUCGACGCCUCAUGUUGAUACAGAAAAACCUUCUGGAGGAUUAAACGACUCGGAACAGGUAAUCCCGUCGUGCAGCGAACCUAUCUCUUAUGCCGCGAAAGUUCGUCCUACCAUGAUCAAGAAGCCGGAUUUUCCUGCUUAUGGUCUUCGUACACUUCAUUCGAAACGUGAGGGGGAGGUCGUUACUUUAUCGAUCCCGAAAUCAGAGUAUCAACAGCGUCUUGAUGAAUUUCAGUUUGCUUUGAUCGGGAGGAUGAUCCUUCGCAAAGGCGACAAGCCGCGUACGUUCGCGGAUAUUACGCUAGAGUUGCAGCGUAUCUGGCAGUGCUCGGAUUGCCAAUUCAUUCCUAUGGCUAAGGGUUUCUUUACUAUCAAAUUCAAGACGGUGGAAGCAAAAAAGAAGGCAAAAGGAAAUGCGGUCCUCCAGCUUUCAACAGGUCACAUACGUCUUCGAGAAUGGUGCCGAUACUUUGAUCCUUAUAAAGAAACCUCAUCUCUUGCACAAGUGUGGGUCAGGGUGUAUUAUCUCCCGGUGGAAUUAUGGACUCCAGUUAUCAUUGCUAAUAUUGGUCGAGCCCUAGGACAUCCGUUGCGUAUUGACAACGUUUCUGCUAAUGGCCAAGUGGGGCACUUCGCCAGGGUCCUUGUGGAAAUCAAUAUGGCGCUGCCCCUUCUCAAUUCAAUGUACAUCGAUGAUGGUAAUAAUUCUUUCUAUAUUGAAUUUGGUUUCGAAUCUUUGCCGUUGUUCUGUUCUCAUUGUAAAAUCACUGGUCAUUCCACGGAUAAAUGCCGGAGAGCUGCGAAAGCAAAAGGCAACCAGAAGAAUGAGGAAGCGGCUGAUCAAGUUGAGGAGAAUCAUAAAGGAGAUGCUAAGGUGGAUCCGAAGCCUGCUUGGCAGCCUAAGGAACAGGUUUAUUACCCUAAUGUCAAGGAUAGUGAUCUUCCGCCGAUUGGAUUGGAAAACCGUUACGACAUGUUUCAUAAAGAUGAUGAGAAGGUGGCCGAAACAGAUAGUGACAGGGUGGACGAAAACUUUGUUGUUGAGUCUCCCGAUAUGUCUCUAAAUGAAAUUGGGGAGGUUAGUGCGGAGCGUCUGAAUGAGGAUGGGGCUGAUGAUUUUCAGGAGGAUCAUGGCAUCACUAAGCGACAUGAUUUGUCGGCUGGUAAGGGACCUACGACUUUCAUAGGAGAUGAAGACUCCGGGAGCAGCAAAGGUCAGCAUGGGGAAGAGGUUGUUACUUCUCCAAAUAUGCAGUCGGAGGAUAUUGAUGAGUUACAGGUUCAGAAAGCAGCUGCCAUGAAUACACAACGGGAGAAGGACCCUACUCCUGAUUUGAAGGAUAGGGCGGAGUCUCAGGGGAUCAUUCCGGAUCAAGAGGAUAUUGCUAAUCGUAUUAGCAGGCUCGAGGCGCAGGUUACUCAAGGGAUGGAAUUGCUCGUUGAGCAAGUUCCACCUAAGCGUGGACCGGGUCGUCCUAAAAAGGGUAUGGAACGUUCGUGCGUGCCACUGAUUCCGAAUCCGAUAGAUUACAUAAAAGGUCGUCUAAGAAAUGCGGAGGAACUGGGAUAUAAGCCGAGGGACUUUGUGGUUGAUCAUAGCAACAAUAGUGCUAUGCGUGCUAUGAACAAUAUCGCGCACGGCCGUUGGUCGGAUGAAAUGGAGUUGGACGACUGAUUUUGUUGCCAAGUACUGUCUUUUGACUUAAGUUGUCCUAUGCGUUGAUGUUUUUGUUUUACGAGCUCUUUUCGAGUCUCGGGCCCUAAGUUUGCUUUCUUGUGCCUUCAAGGGUUUUUUCUUUUUCCUUUUUAAUAAAACUCAAUUUCAUCACUAACUCUUUCCUUUAAAAAAAUGAAUACAAAUUGUAAAUAAUGCAUGCUGCUCAACUCCGGUCCAUUUAUCUUUAUUCCAAAAUGAAAUACACUGACACCAAAGGGUAUGGGCAAGAAUAAGCUGAAAGAUCAAAAAACAAUUGAAAACUUUGCAAAUCGAGGUUGGUGACCAGCACAUGAAACUCUAAAAUGGAAAAAAAGAAAUAAGUGGAGUAUUAAGUAUAAGAUUCUGGAACUUCCAUUUGAUGAUCAAAUUAGAUCACAUCACCAAUGCAAUCAAAAAAAAAUAUGGGUCUCCCUUGUUCAUCAGAAAUUUGUCACCAAGCAUUAUUAUAAAUGAUUUGGCUGAUCAAAACUCAUCAUCAAGCAUUACAUUUAUAGAUGGUUUUGCUAAUCAAAACUUAUAAUCAAGAAUUACAUUUAUAUUGUUAAGAAAAGCAUCAAAGUUUUCAGUUUCAACUGCGUCUAACAUCCUUUUUAUGCCACACUUCACUGCCAUAGGCAUUAAUUCUCCAAACUGAAAAUUCCUAUUUUUCAGCAUUUUAUAACUUUUUCAUUAUUUUUCUUGAAAAAACUUAUAUAAUAGCAAUCUGAUUGGGUGUCUUGCUGAUAUACAAUAAUAUAUGUACUAAGAUAUUAAAUGUUAUCUUGCUCAAGUAGAGAGUCUACAGGCGUUGUAUUCAUCGAGCAAUGAAGAAAAGGAAACUGAAACAAAAGAAAAAAUCUCUUGAUCGACAAAAAGGAUUGUGCCUCAAGUUUCUUUUCCUCCAAACCAUUCACAUUUAGAAAUUGAACAUGAGAUAUAUAUUCCAUCACUUUUCACAUUUUUUAGAGCUGGCAAAAGAAAAACCCUUCUUUCUUGGAAGCAUUCACAUUUUCAUCUUAUCAUAAACCUCUCGCAAAAAAUUAUAGGCAGAUGUUAAAAACUUAAACAAUUUCCUUAAUAAUCUUCAAAAUUCAGAAUACCAUCCCUUCUUGCCACAUUCGCCAAACUUCCUAAAAAGUUAAUAAGAUGAAAUUCGAAAUACCAAAUGUAGAUGCAACUCUUGCACCAAUUUAACCAAAUCAUAACCCUAAAACAAAAUAGCAUACAAACAGAAAGUAAACCCAAAAUCCAAAUUGAGGGGAAAGAAUUAGCUGCAAAAUAACAGAGAAAACCCACAUUUUUCAGCUCAGUCAACCCAAAUCCUAAUUCUCUAGCCAUCAAAUUAAACCUAUAUAAAUCCCCAGAGUUCAAUUCCCAUCUUUGGUAAAAUAAACAGAGCAUAAUUAACACCAAAAAAACACAAACACGGACAAAGAAGAAGAAAAAACAUACCACCAAGAGUAGUUGACAGCAUGAUCGAGCUUGAGAGAGAGAAUAAGAGAGAAGGAGAAAAGCAACCCAUGAGCCACCACCACUUGAAAAGACUUGAAAACUCUCCUCCAGCUCAUCAUCUCCCCAAACCAAAAUUCUAUGACACCAAAAAAAAAAUUGACCACGACACGCACACACACAAUUACACCGAGUCUAUGUUCGUAUACAAUUUAUCCUAUGAAAAAAAAAGGUUAGAAAGUUAGAACGGGAAAAAGGAAAUAGACUCUUUAGCUUAACAUCUGAUGUAAAUCUACACAUAAUUUUAUUGAAUUAAUUCAAUAAAAUUAUAUGGCUGAAUGAGAAACAAAUCAGAUUACAUCAUCCAUUGAAAACAUCAAUAAGCCAGACUUGAAUAGAAGAUGCCCUAAAAAUGGAAUCUCCAAACAGAAAAUUCCAAAAAAAAAAUCAUGAAUAUAUAAAUCCAACCUUUUUCUUAGUAUUGCAAUCCUCGGAGACGAUCUGCAGCUCUUGAUCCCAUUCUUUGUUGAGUUAUGAGCUGAUUAUUCGAUUCCAAUGAGCAACAAAAUCUGCAAAAUAAAACCCAAACCAAAAAUCAAAACACACGGUAUAAAUUACAGCUAAAUCCCCCAAAGUUUUAAGAGAAAAAUUAAUAAUUCUCGCUACAAACUGAAAAUUAUAGAGAAGGUGAUAAAGGUGAAGUUGCAUAUUAAAUUUACCAUCUAGAGGUGAUCUUCUCGGAGGCCCCACUGACUUCUUCAAUGGAGCUUGGGAAUCCCCAAAACUGAAAAUUCAAAACAAAAAAAAGGCAUAAGAUGAAAUUUAACCAAAUUUUAUUAGAAGAUGCCCUAAAUAAGUUGGUCUGACUGGAAUCUGUCAUUAAAUUUAGGCCUACCAGCCUGCCUCAGAAUACUCCGUACACGUCCUGCAAUGCUCAAAACCAGGUAGACUUACCCAACAAAGACUCAAAAAGAAGUAGCAAGUUCUCGUAACUCAUGAGUCAUGAUCUGCAUUAAUUUAAUCCACCAAAAAACAAAUCAUUAAAUCAUAUUGGUGAUUCUUUUCUGCCAUUUAAAAUAUGAGCACACACGAAUCAGAUUAUAGAUAAAAUAAAAAGGCUUCAUUUUUACUCUAAACCCACAAAUGAAGGUUUUCAGAAAGGAUAA